GCCGGAGUGGCUUCCCGCACACUCGCACUCGCGGCGGCCGCUAGAAAACCAUCUUGCAGCCGGUGGCGAGAGUAUGGGCGCGUUAACUCUGGAACCUACUGAGGGCGCCACCCCGCACCAGCGCCAUCCUGCUCCCCCGUUGGGCUUUUGGGGCUGAACCCUCCUUUUGGGCCCAGCCGAAGAAGCCCAGGAGAUGGUCCGGCAUGCACGUGUGGCUCCUCCCGGCGCUUCCCGUGGAAGGCGGCAUCGCUCGAGGGAGGGAAAAGCGGCAAAAAAGCAGGAAAAACAGUAAAACCGGACAGCGCCAGAGCUUGCGAUCGUGCCCGGAGCUCGGCGAUCGCGAGCACGAGGCCGCGCACAGCUCACUGCACGAGUGGGUGUCCCGCCAAGUGGCGAUUUACCGGUGCCGGUUCCCGCACUGAGGCUUUUCCCGUUUAAUUCCCCGUCGAGGAACGAGUCGUUUCCCGCCCGGCCAGGAGCUGGGAAGGGGGGUCCGGGGUGGGGGUGGGGGGGGCGGCGCUGCAGCAGGUCCCACCGCUGGGGGACGGUUCGGCCUCCUCUUCCUCCUCGCCGGCUCCCUGGUGCCUGCGCCCUGGGCGCGGGUGCAGGAUUUGGGAGCGCAGGGUGCGUGGUGCAGGCGCGCGGUGCAGGUGUGCGGUGCAGGACGUGGCGGAUUUGGAUGCAAGACGGGAUGGAUUAUGCAGAUCGGGAUGCAGGACACGGGCUGCAGGAUGCGGAUGCAGGACGCAGACGCAGGACAUGGGAUGUGGGUGCAGACGUGAGAUGCAGGACACGGUGGAUUUGGAUGCACGAUGCAAGACCGGAUGCACGAUUUGGAUGCAGGAUGCGGAUGCACGAUGCAGGACACCGGAUGCGGGACGCAGAUGCAGACACACGAUGCAUGAUGUGGGAUGCACAGUGCAGGACGCGGGAUGCAGGACACAGGAUGCAGAUGUAGAUGCAAGAUGCAGGACAGGGUGGAUUUGGAUGCAUGAUGCAAGGCAGGAUGCACGAUGCAGAUUUGGAUGCAGGAUGCGGAUGCACAAGGCAGGACACUGGAUGCAGACUCACAAUGCAGGACAAGCGAUGCAGCUGCACAGUGCAGGACGUGGGAUGCAGGACGUGGGAUGCGAGAUGCAGGACAUGCCGGAUUUGGAAGCAAGAUGCAAGGCAGGAUGCACAAUGCAGAUCUGGAUGCAGGACCUAGGACGCGGGACGCAGAUGCACGAUGCAGGACACAAGACGCAGAUGCACGAUGCAGGACGCGGGUGCACGACUCAUGCAGGAUGUGGACACAGACGCAGGACAUGGGCCACGGAUGCAGAUGCGAGAUGCAGGACAUGGCGGAUUUGGAUGCACGAUGCAGGACAGGAUGCAGGAUGCAGAUUUGGAUGCAGCACGUGGAUGCAGGUGCACGAUGCAGGAUGCGGAUGCAGACUCACGAUGCAGGACGCGGAGCCACGAGGCAGGACACGGAUGCACACGCUCACCAGGCAGGACGCACGGUGCGGGAAGCAGAUGCACGAUGCAGAACGUGGAUGCAGGACGUGGCAGCCAGAUGCACAAUGCAGGAUGCAGACACAGGACAUGGGACGUGGGUGCAGAUGUUCCGUGCAGGACGUGGCAGAUUUGGAUGUGGAGGCACAAUGCAGGACGCGGGAUGCAGCCUCACGCUGCAGAUGCAGACGCACGAUGCAGGACACGGGAUGCAGCUGCACCGUGCAGGACAUGGGAUGCAAGACAUGGGAUGCAGAUGCGCAAUGAAGGACAUAGUGGACUUGGAUGCAAGACAGGAUGCACGACACAGAUUUGGAUGCAGGUGCACAAGGCAGGACACCGGAUGCAGACUCACGAUGCAGGAUGCAGAUGCAGACUCACAGUGCAGGACGCGGGAUGCAGGACACGGGCCACGGAUGCAGAUGUGAGAUGCAGGGCACAGUGGGUUUGGAUGCACAAUGCAAGACAGGAUACAUGAUACAGAUUUGGAUGCAGAUGCACAAGGCAGGACACUGGAUGCAGACUCACAGUGCAGGACAUGGGAAACAGGAUGCAGCUGCACAGUGCAGGACGCAGGAUGCAGGACGUGGGACGCAGAUGUAGCUGCGAGAUGCAGGACAUGCCGGAUUUGGAUGCACGAUGCAAGGCAGGAUGCAGGACGCAGAUCCGGGUGCAGGACAUCGGACGCAGCCGCACUAACUGCACCCGUAAUCCCUUAGGCAUAAACCGCUGGCCAAGCCUGGGACUAGGAUCGGCUCCCGCCGCACCCAGGCUCCUUGCAGAACAUGGGAUGCAGGAUGCGGAUGCAGAUGCAGGACGCUGGACGCAGACUCAUGACGCGGGACACGGACACAGGCGCAGGACGCGGGAUGCAGAUGCACGGUGCAGGACGUGGGAGACGGAUGCAGGACACGACAUGGAUGCAGGACGGGGAUGCAGGACGUGGGGCACACGGUGGAUUCGGAGGUGCGAUGCCAGACCAGACGCCCGACAGAUCCGGAUCUGGGCCAGGGGGGCUGCAGGACUUGGGAUGCGGAUGCGCAACACCCACCCUGCUGCCAAAAUCAGGGUCUGACACCCCCCCCCCAAAAAAAGGGAACCCCCCCUUUCCUGCUCGGGGAAGCUUUGCUGGCAGAUUCCUGGCCACAUCUGCUGGCCAGAUGUGCCGGAGCCUCCCGGCACCUGCAGCCCAGCUUUCCCCCUCUCCGGUAUGGAGCUGGGAAACACA
rnacentral:lncRNA from 1 species